rfam:Pristionchus pacificus strain PS312 contig7468, whole genome shotgun sequence.
GCUCCAUUGGCGCAGUUGGUUAGCGCGUGGUACUUAUAAUGCCGAGGUCGGGAGUUCGAUCCUCCCAUGGAGCA